rnacentral:rRNA from 1 species
UACAGAGGUCUCGAGCGUUGUUCGGAUUUAUUGGGCGUAAAGGGUGCGUAGGCGGUGUGGCAAGUCAAGUGUGAAAUCUCGGAGCUUAACUCUGAAACUGCACUUGUUACUGCCGUGCUAGAGGGUUGUAGAGGAGAUCGGAAUUCACGGUGUAGCAGUGAAAUGCGUAGAUAUCGUGAGGAAGACCAGUGGCGAAGGCGGGUCUCUGGACAGUUCCUGACGCUGAGGCACGAAGGUCAGGGGAGCAAACGGG